rnacentral:rRNA from 1 species
GAUGAACGCUGGCGGCGUGCUUAACACAUGCAAGUCGAACGAAGCAACUCUCCCGAUGAUUGACACAGCUUGCUGUAGAUGGAUUCAUUUGAGGUGACGGAGUGGCGGACGGGUGAGUAACGCGUGGGUAACCUGCCCCAGAGAGGGGGACAACAGUUGGAAACGACUGCUAUUACCGCAUAGUAUGAAGAAUUCGCAUGUUUUCUUCUUGAAAGAUUUGUCUCUAUGAGAUGGACCCGCGUCUGAUUAGCUAGGUGGUAAGGUAACGUCUUAGCAAGGCGUCAAUCGCUAGACGGGUUGUGAGAGUGACCCGCCACUUCGGGACUGGGACGCAGCGCGGAAUACUACGGAAGGCAGCAGUGGCGGAUAUUGCAAUAUGGCGGAAACGAAGAUGCAGCGACGCUUGGUGAGUUAAGAAGUAUUUCAGUAUGUAAAGCACUUUCAGCAGGGAAGGUAAUGACGGUAACUAAAUAAGAAGCACCGGCUAACUACGUG